ACCGCUGGUGCACCAGUUGUAUCGCCAGAUGCAUAGCUGGGUAGCUAAGUAGGGAACGGAUAAGCGCUGAAGGCAUCUAAGCACGAAACCGACUCCAAGAUGAGAUUUCCCAUACGCAAGUAGUAAGACCCCUUGAAGACGACAAGGUAGAUAGGUCAGAGAUGGAAGUGUAGAAAUACAUGGAGUUGACUGAUACUAAUGGUACGAGGACUUAAUCACACAA
rnacentral:rRNA from 1 species